rnacentral:tRNA from 1 species
GGGCGUAUAGUUCAGUGGUUGGGCACAUGCUUGGUGAGCAUGAGGUCCUGGGUUCAACUCCCAGUGCCUCCA